GGCGCGGGGAGGGAGAGGCACAUGCCGCCCCCCGGGCGCCCCUUCUCCUGCCUUCCGGAGCGGCCGAGCAGGCGGCGGCAGGGCGGGGGCCGGAUCCCCGAGGCGCGGACCCGCUGAGCUGCCGGGAAGAUGCUUUCUUGUCCCCCCAGAGACAGUUGCUGCUUUACCCCCAGACCUGUCUGACUUUAGUGGAGAGAUCAUGACUGAAGUCCUCUUUUCAGCUGUUUUGAAUGGGACUGAAACCAACAUUCUGUCAAACACUGGCUGGACUCUAGGAAAUGCCACUACCAAAUGUUCCCUAACCAAAACCGGCUUCCAGUUCUAUUACCUGCCCACUGUCUACAUUCUAGUCUUUAUCUCUGGAUUCCUGGGCAAUAGUGUGGCGAUCUGGAUGUUUGUUUUCCACAUGAGGCCUUGGAGUGGCAUCUCAGUUUACAUGUUUAAUCUGGCAUUAGCUGAUUUCUUGUAUGUCUUGACACUCCCUGCCCUCAUCUUUUAUUACUUCAAUAAAACUGACUGGAUCUUUGGAGAUAUCAUGUGCAAACUGCAACGGUUCAUCUUCCAUGUGAACCUGUAUGGCAGCAUUUUGUUUCUGACUUGCAUCAGUGUGCACAGAUACACAGGGGUAGUGUAUCCUUUGAAAUCACUUGGGAGGCUGAAGAAAAAGAAUGCUGUUUACAUCAGUACCCUUGUUUGGAUCAUUGUUGUAGCUGGGAUUUCUCCUAUAUUGUUCUACUCUGGAACUGGGCUAAGGAAAAAUAAAACCAUUACCUGUUAUGAUACUACAACUGAUGAUUAUCUGAGAAGUUACUUCAUUUACAGCAUGUGCACCACUGUGUUUAUAUUCUGCAUCCCAUUCAUAUUGAUUCUUGGUUGUUACGGACUAAUAGUGAAAGCUUUGAUUUACAAGGAUUUGGACAAUUCUCCUCUUAGGAGAAAAUCAAUUUACCUGGUUAUUAUUGUGUUGAUGGUCUUUGCCGUGUCUUAUCUUCCCUUUCAUGUGAUGAAGACAUUGAAUCUAAGAGCCAGACUGGAUUUUCAGACUCCACAAAUGUGUGCCUUCAAUGACAAAGUAUAUGCCACUUACCAAGUGACAAGGGGGUUAGCUAGUCUCAACAGCUGUGUAGAUCCUAUUCUGUAUUUUUUGGCAGGUGAUACCUUUCGAAGUAGACUUUCAAGGGCAACCAGAAAAGCGUCUAGAAGAAGUGAGCUCAAUGUGCAAUCAAAAAGCGAGGAAGUGACUCUCAAUAUUUUAGCAGAAUAUAAAGUGAAUGGAGACACGAGUAUGUGAAUGGAAAAGAUUUGCAAGCAGUUGCAAAAAACAAAACAAAACUUUCCGUUUUUAACACACUUAGAUGCUCUAGUGCCAUGACUGUUUGGGAAAAAUCUACUGAACUGGCCAGCAAGCUUGCUCUUUUUGUGUUGGGGGUGUCUCAUUUUGUGAAUUUAAGGAGAACUUAAGCAAAGUAAGUGUAAAAAAAAUUUAAUCUUAAUGGGGGGGAAAAAUGCAUCAGAUUUCUGUUUUUACCUUUUUUUUAAAAAAAUGCUCACAAUAGUAUAUCUUCCUGAUUGGUGUCAAAUAAAAUAAGACAAAACAAAUCCCAUAGAGGAAAAAUAGUUUCAAAUGUGCUGCUGUUAUUAAUUCUUUUCUCUCCAUUAAUAAUAACAGAUUUAAAAAAAAUUAAAUCUCCAAGAAAAAUAAACUUCUUUUCUGGGCCUCUGUCCAUACUUCCAUCCAUAGCCUCUUCUUUUACACUUACACUGUAAAAAAUUGUUUACAUUAAGAUCAUGAUGCAGCAAUCUUGAACAUUAUCUUGUGAUUUCUGUAUCUUCUACUUUUGGAACAAAUGAUAAUAUUUUGGUAGCUCAGUGGUGCCCUUUCUGGUUCUAUCUUUUCUGAAGACUUGAUUCCUAUAAGGAUAGGUUCCAGGCCCAUGUGUAUUAUGACCCUCACAAAUUAUUGUGAUUGUACGUGAAAACUAAGGGUGAAAUUUUGGCAAUGUUGAAGUCAAUGCUAUUGAUUUUAGAGGGGCCAGAAUUUCACCCGGAUGUUUGCACAGAGACUGUCUAUUUUGCUUUUUGUGCAAGCAGCUACCUAUGCACGCACAAUCGCAGUACAUUUUGAGUGUAGAUAUCACCUACAAAUCUGAGUACAAAAAUUGGCACUGUAUAUCUAAAUAUCCAAUAUUUUAGUCGUUGCUGAAGUAAAACCCUCAUUGUCUUCAGUGGAAAGAACCAAAUAAUGGACCUGAAUAAGGACUGCAGGAAUGGGCUCUGCUUGGGCAAAUGGCAGGACCAAAUUUAUAGAUUUGGAAGAGGCUUGCUCUUUAGAGUUACAAAUUUUGGCCAAUACUUCACUGCUGCUCUGACACUCAGCAUCUGAUGCUGGAAGUUUGUGUGAAUUCUCUUAUGGGUAACAAACUCUAUUAUUGAAAACACUUCAAUUUUUAUCCACAUAAUUCAAAUAUCUCUGGCUUUUAUCUUAACCUUCAUUUGGUACAAGCAUUUUUCACUUUCUUAUCUUGUGUGAUAACACAAGCUGUUUCCCAGGCAAAUUCUUAUCAAAAUGGGUUAAAGAACAAUAUUUGUUGGAAUCAGGAGAAAAAAAAAGAUAAACUUCAUUUUUUUUUACUGUGAAUAAAGAAUUACUGUAUCAACAAAAUGUUGCAAUACACUGCCAAUAAUUUCAUGCUGGGGAGUGGAUACCUUCAUAAUUUGUCUCACGCAAAUGUGUAAAAUGGUCACCUAAAAUUGGGCAGAAUAAUACAUUGUGUAAUGCAUCAGUCAGUGAGGAGUUGAGCACAGACAGAAUCUGUGGGGAACAGAACCUUAUUUAUUUCACAUAGAUAUUGUUUGAAAUGUGUCUGAAAGUAUUAUUGAAUCUGGUGCACAAAAUGGUGUGAUAUGUAAUCAGUAAAUGGUUUUAACAAAUCCUCAGCUCCCACAAACUUUAUACUAGGAAUAAAAAUAAACUAUUUCUAUCUUGCUUAUUAAUUUCCAAGGACUGUCUACAUGCAGAAAAUGAAUAGCUCUAGAUAUCUCUUGACUAAAUUGUUAAGCAGCUUACAUUCAGAAAUAUAAAACUACUUAACCUGCAAAAACUAUUUAUUUAACUUAUUUAUUGGAAGACUAAGUACAAAUGUGAAGUGUUGUUUAAUAACAUUUUAAAUGAUUCUGUUUUCAUAUUUUCAUAAUUGAGCAUUAAUGGAAAAAAUUGAAUGGCAUGUUUGAAUUGUUGUAAUUGUACUCUAAUGGAACAUCUUUUAUAAUAAACUCUCAGAUCCAGCGCUGCAAGACAUUUUGGAUUACCAUUUGCUGUUGAUGUGCAGUCUACACCUAAAUUAAGCUACUGUUUAGCAAGCAUAAUAUUUUACAGUAAUGCUAAAAAUCUCAUUUAAUCCUAUAAAUCCAAGAAAAUGUAGAGCAAAUGCAAAAAAUCAAGGCUAAUGUUCCUCUUUGUGACAAAACUUUGUUGAAUGUACAGACCUUGGUUCUCAUUUAUAAGGCCAAGUCUCCUGUGUAGCUACUCUAUGCCAGUGGGAGAGAGCUCUCCCACCGACAUAGCUCUGUCCACACAGGCACUUUUGUCUGUGAAACUUAUCCAUUUUCACACCCCUGACUGACAAAAAUUUUGCUGACAAAAGUGUUAGUGGAGACAAAGCCUAAGGCUCCUUUAUGCUGCCAGAGAAUGAGAAUCAGCCCCACAGUACAUGGUGUGUAACUGGUGUGCUUGGCAGAUGAAUUAAGGAUAGUGUCAGAAUGGAUUUACAGAUUGUGCAAUGAAUGGAUUUUUAUGGGUUUAAAAUCAUGUUAUUUUCACAGUUUUGUGGUCUUUCUUUUUUCCUUCAAUUAGGGAAUAAAAUGUUGCACUAAUUAGGAACUUUUUGAAGCAUGAAACACACAUACUCAAUUCUCAGAUUCAGAAAAGUCUGUAUUUAGAUACUUUAAAAAAAUAUAUAAUCAACCCACUUUUACUUUUUAAAUGUGUAUCAAAACUAUGCUAAACCAUAUUGGCUAUUCAUUAAUGUAUAUUAGACCUUAAAAAUCAAGAGCAGCAACAAAAUUUUAGGGAUACAAUUGUAAGACAUAGGUACAGCUCAUAAUGAGGGGCAGGGAGGAUCUGCACAACUCCAUGGGAAACUCAAAGGCAGUAUUUACCCUCCUUAAGUGGCAGAAUGCCCGCCGCUCUGCUCCUUUGUGGGGUACACCAUUCUCCCUACAGCACACUGGUUUCCAAACAUGGACUGUUUCUGUGCCUUCCACACAACAGUGGAAAGUUAAUUUUGAAUCAUCUUGCCUGCAUAUACUCACUUAAGAGACCAGCCCAAUAUCUCACUAUUGUCCAUUGUGGUAAUAUUGUAUGUAAUCAGGAUUAUUUUUUAAAGGUGACUUGCAGAGGCAAGACACCUCGUUCCAGUAACUUUAGCUCAGUUAUGCCCUGGAAGUUUCCAUGGUGCAGUUAGGAGGGGCAUUAAGUACAUUUUUAUCUUAAAACUUAUUCUAUUUUCCUUCUUUCAGGUCCUGUGACAUUCAGAACUACCAACAACCAGUACCUCCAUCCUAUUCUGAUGUGAGUCCCUGACAUGCACCAUUCUGAGAUGACACAACUACCACAGCCACCACUGAGUUCAGCUGGAACAUGGAGCUGGUCCACAGAAUCUCACGUUAAGUCCCCACUUUUUUUUUUUUAACAUUAAGAUAUUUGGCACACAUUCUGCGCCUCAGAGUAGAUAGAGCUACUACAAAAUCAUGGCACAGGAUAACAAGAGUGACUCUAACUCAGUGCUCCAGCAUGACUACUUUGUACCUGCAACAUCACAGCAUGGUGUGUGUUGGGUAAUCACAUCCGAGGAGGAUCUGGGCUGGAUGUCAUGGGACCAGAAAUAAAUUGUUUUCUUGCUCAGUGUUGCAUAGCUCCUGGGGGAAUUUGCCAAAUAUAUUGGUAAACACUACUGCCAUUUGGGACGUAAUCUUAUUAAAAUAAAUUUAAUAGUAGUGAAAGGUAACCAGCCUGACAGGCCUUGAGACUAAAGGACCCCCCUGCAGCUCUUCACAGCACUGGCAUCAGCAGAGAAAAUCCCCUAAACUGCCUCUCACAACAUCUCUCAUGCUGACCCUAGUGGAACCACUUCUAGGUAUGUGAGGCGAAUACAGUUUUCAUUUCCAUUCAGACCUUUGCUGACACUGCUGAGAAUGAUGCCAUUUAGUGACAAUGGUAAUUGUGGGCUUUGUAGUCCUGUUUACUAGGACCUGGACUCAGGCAAUCACCUCCUUACACAAAGUAUUCCUAACAGUACUGACUUAACUCUUUAGUGUGAUGGGCUGGACUUGAACCUUGAGCCAGCUAUUUUCUCUUGGCAUCUUUGCUGGUAGUCUUCUAAAUAUAUAUUUAUUUAUUUAGAGAUCCAUAAAAGCUCUUGAUAAACACUUUUUAUUUAAAAAAAAAAUUACUUUUUAAAGAAAUGAAUAUUUGACCUAAACAGAGCUACAAUGAUCUAUACAGAAACAAAUGACUGUUCAUGGUAUAUUUGCAUUUUGUAGCUCCAUAGGGUCAAAGUUGCCUCAUUUAUGCCCAUGUGCUCCCAGGAGGGAUAAUGUCUAAUACAAAAUGAAGCAACUGUAAUCUAGUUACUGUAUGUGGGCUGUGGGCACUUUAGAAACUUCAAUAGCUUGAUAUCUUGGGUAUUUAAAUUUGUUGUUUUUAAACUAUCAGGUUUAAGUCCAGUUUAUGCAUUAGUAGCCUAAUGAAAAUUUAAUUUUAAAGACACCAAGUGCCAAAUUUUGCCACUGGAUGCACAUGAGUAACGCCCAUUGAAUUUAGGGAUAGCUUCCCAUGUGCAUUUGAGGACAGAAUUUGGGAUUGAGUUAUUAUUUUAUAGAACCAUAUAAUAAGAAUGUUGUUAUAGCUCAGUGAGUUGAGCAGUAGCCUGCUAAACCCAGAGUUGUAAGCUCAAUCCUUGAGGGGGCCAUUUAGGGAUCUGAGGCAAAAAAAAAUAAUAAAAACUAUUAGGGAUAAUAGUUGGUCCUGUUAGUGAAGGCAGGGGACUGGACUCCAUGACCUUUUGAGGUCCCUUCCAGUUUUAUGAGAUAGGUAUAUCUCCAUAUAUUAUUAUUUUAUUUAUUAAUAAGGGUCGCAUUACAGUAUCGCAACAUUAAACCCAUGGUAGGGAUUUUCCUGUAGCCAAGAUGCCACUGAAUCCUUCCCUCAUGAGGAAAAAUGGGGGAACAGUGGAGGCAGGGGACCCAGGACCUGUACACCACAGCUCUGCCAAGGGCCAGCACUCCUCCCAUCUGGCAGCGUGGGUUCUUAAGGAGAAGUGGGUUUGCUACUGGUCAUUCCAGCUGAGCUUGUGCUAUUUUUCCCCCUCUGUGGAGAAGAUACAGUGCAGACCACAGGGUGGAGAAUUAACCCCUGCUCCUUUUGUCCACUGCAUUUCCACUGGAUUCUGAGAGGCACAUGCUAUGUAAAAUGGCUGUUCCUUUUAUUCACUCACCACCUAUCCCCAAAAGUGAGUGGAGUUCCUCUGGGUCCCAGGCACAGAAAAAGGGGAAAACAUACUAUCCUGGCUUGGCUUACUCCCACUGCUUCUGGGGCAUUUUUGCCCCAUAUUGCUUUAGUCUUUUAUUUGGUCUCCCGUGUUCCUCACAGCCAAAGGAAGUAGUCCUAACAUCUUGCCCAUUUUCCAAAAAUGUACGGUAAAUUAAUACACAUUAAUAUCCAAGCAUUAUAGUGUCCACUUUCUGCCUCAAGUAAAGUUUGCUGGAUAGUCUAUAUGCUUCCCCAUGGGGUAAAUUCUACCUGCAGUUCUCUCUAGACAUUUAUUUCAUGCUCAUGAGCAUGGCUUCUGAGUACAUAUGUGGGCACAAUGCCCAGAAAUAUAUCUGGAAGUUCUAGCACUAAUAAUACCUAGCAUUCAUAUAAUAGCUUACAUGUUCAGUGUGGUGUUAUACAAACAUUAAGUCCUCUCUAAUGUAGGUAGGUAUCGUUAUUCCUGUUUUAUACACAGGCAAACUGACACAGAGAGGUGAAGCAAAUUGCCUAUACAGUUAAUCAGCAACAGAGCCAGGAUUAGAAUUUGGACGAUUCUGAUUUCCAAACCAGUGCUCAUUCAGCUGACUUCUUGUACAUGUAAUUAAUGGGAGUCUUGCAUGCAUAUUCGAGGGCAGAAUUUGACCCUCACAAGGAAGUUGUCUGAGAACCACUAAAAAAUCCUUAACUACAGUAUAGUAGCUUGACUUGCAGCAUUUUAUCACUCUUACAUUUGCUGUAUUAUUUUUAACUCCAGAUGUUUUUGUCACCAUUUAGAAUU